GCGCUGUUCGGCGGCGGUCAGUGCAUCCAGCAGCUUGCUGCGCUGCUCGGCGAAGCCUUGGGGCGCCACCUCGGCCUGUUUCAGCUGGGCGGCGGUGCGC
rnacentral:tRNA from 1 species